rnacentral:rRNA from 1 species
AACCUUGGGGUCGAGGAUACCCCGGGAAACUGGGGCUAAUCCACGAUAGGUGUGGAGGCCUGGAAUGGUUCCAUACCCAAAUGGAUGUCAGUCACGUUUGGCAUCUGCCCGAGGAUGGGGCUGCGGCCGAUCAGGCAGUUGGCGAGGUAACAGCUCACCAAACCUUUGACCGGUACGGGCCAUGAAAGUGGUAGCCCGGAGAUGGGCACUGAGACAGGGGCCCAGGCCCUACGGGGCGCAGCAGGCGCGAAAACUCCACAAUGUACGGAAGUACGAUGGGGUUAUCUCGAGUGCAGUCCGAUAAGGGCUGCUUUUCCAUAGAGUAAUAUCCUGUGGGAAUAAGAGGGGGGCAAGACUGGUGUCAGCCGCCGCGGUAACACCAGCCCCUCGAGUGGUGGGGACUUUUAUUUGGCCUAAAGCGUCCGUAGCUAGCUGUGUCAGUCCCCCGUUAAAUCCGGCGUCCUAAGCGUCGGACUGCGGGUGAUACCAUACAGCUAGAGGGUGGGAUAGGUGAGCGGUAUUUCUGGGGUAGGGGCGAAAUCCUUUGAUCCCAGGAGGACCACCAGUGGCGAAGGCUGCUCACUAGAACACGCCUGACGGUCAGGGACGAAAGCUGGGGCAGCGAACCGGAUUAGAUACCCGGGUAGUCCCAGCUGUAAACGAUGCUAGCUAGGUGUUGGGUCGGCCACGCGCCGCCCCAGUGCCGCAGGGAAGCCUUUAAGCUAGCCGCCUGGGGAGUACGGCCGCAAGGCUGAAACUUAAAGGAAUUGGCGGGGGAGCAC